rnacentral:rRNA from 1 species
AUGGACCAUUCCAUCCCUUUUUCCCGUGCAUAUGCAUCGGAUUCGGAUGACGAAGGUCCCGAUGAACAAGUUGAUGAGGAGGGGUUCACGGUGAAGGAGGCCGAAGCUUUUGAGAAGGUAUUCGGUCGGGAUCACAAGACACCAUUGUUCAAGGAUGUUAGUCUCCCGGAUGAAGCCGUUGUGGAUGGUGGCAAAUCUAUAUCUCUUGGGGUUAGGCCAAGCUCUCAC